UACGUAGGGGGCAAGCGUUAUCCGGAUUUACUGGGUGUAAAGGGAGCGUAGACGGCUUUGCAAGCCAGAUGUGAAAGCCCGGGGCUCAACCUCGGGACUGCAUUUGGAACUGUAUGGCUGGAGUGUCGGAGAGGCAGGCGGAAUUCCUAGUGUAGCGGUGAAAUGCGUAGAUAUUAGGAGGAACACCAGUGGCGAAGGCGGCCUGCUGGACGAUGAUUGACGUUGAGGCUCGAAAGCGUGGGGAGCAAACAGG
rnacentral:rRNA from 1 species